GAAAAAGGUCCCCUGAUCUUGAUAUCAACCUCAUUCGGAAUAUCCUUGCCAUUUUAGAGGAUAACCCAUAUGUCCAUACUUUUAGGAGAAAUGGUGCUUUUCCAAACUUGGAUGACUACCGGAUUGAACUCAACACAAAUGUUACUCCUGACCAGAGAAGAUACAAUGCCCCAACAGCCUCCCAGGUUGCUGCUAUUUGGCUGGAAGGGAACGAUCCACAAAGAUGUUUUGACAGGAGUGUGGUAGUAUAUGGAAAGACCGAUCGCCGUCCCCAGUAUAUACGAGCAUGGCAUGGUUGUUAUGAUCCAUUAGGUUAUCCUAUGUAUAAUCCGCGAGGGGAAACAGGGUGGAACAAGUUUAUGUCAUAUAGUGGGGAUCAAGUCACUCCAUCUACAGCCCCGACUUCUACUAAUAGUGUUAAUAACAUGGAUCAGAGGACUACUGGUGGUUAUCCAGUUGAUGAUAAUAACGACAAUUAUGCGGAAGGCGGUGAUAAUGACGUCCAAGAAGGUGAAUGGCUAAGCGGAGUUGCAGAUUCAGCACAAUCCGCAUGUAACUGCACGAGAAUACUACUGCUUCAAAAUGCAAGUUAGAAGGGGGAUUUUUAACAUUAUAUUAUUUGGAGGUCGUCUUUUCCAGCAAUGGGCUGUAGAUAUGUAUAUAAAGAUUGAGUCUAUGAGGCUAGAUUGGUACUCAAAUCCAGAAAACCAAAAACUAAUACGAGCAGAGCUAUACCAGGUUCCUGUAGCAGGUCUGACAACAGACAGAAAUGCAGUAGUGGAGCGUGGAUGAGGACUCAUGCAUGACUAUUAGAAUCAUGGGAACUUGAAGUCUGAACAUGAAUGAUUUUGGUGUCACAAUUACUCUGCAUUUGUUCUACAAACUGUGGGAAUGAAAAGCUGUUGAACAUUAGCAGACAACCAAACGAGCUUGACUAUGGUGGCUUGGUCUGCAGUUAACACGAUAUUUCUGUUAAAAAUACUAGAAAACAUUGUGACAUGUUUGGUUUCAGUUUCAGUUAACACGCUAUGUUCAGUGUCAUGUUAUUUCCAGCAAAAGCAGAAACUACACUAACUGAUACUUGCCUGCUCAAUGUGGACAAACAAUAACAA